rnacentral:rRNA from 1 species
UACGUAGGGUGCGAGCGUUGUCCGGAAUUACUGGGCGUAAAGGGCGCGUAGGCGGCCUGUUAAGUCGAACGUGAAAUCCCAGGCUCAACCUGGGAACUGCGUCCGAUACUGGCAGGCUUGAAUCCGGGGAGAGGGAUGCGGAAUUCCAGGUGUAGCGGUGAAAUGCGUAGAUAAUCUGGAGGAACACCGGGUGGCGAAGGCGGCAUCCUGGACCGGUAUUGACG